CAGGCACCGGACGUCAAUAUAACGUCAUGCUGACAUUGGAUCCCAACGUUGGUCAGACGUUGUAAUUUGGUUGAAAAUGAAAAUCGGGUUGACGACAGAACCCAACGUCAUAUUGACGUCGAUCUCCAACGUUGGUCAGACGUUGAAUUUUGGAUGAAAAUGAAAAUCUGGUUGACGUCAGAACCCAACGUCAGGCUGACGUCGAUCUCCAACGUUGGUCAGACGUUGAAUUUUGGAUGAAAAUGAAAAUCUGGUUGACGUCAGAACCCAACGUCAGACUGACGUCGAUUUCUAACGUUGGUCAGACGUUGAAUUUUGGAUGAAAAUGAAAAUCUGGUUGACGUCAGAAACCAACGUCAGACUGACGUCGAUCUCUAACGUUGGUCAGACGUUGAAUUUUGGAUGAAAAUGAAAAUCUGGUUGACGUCAGAACCCAACGUCAGGAUGACGUCGAUCUCCAACGUUGGUCAGACGUUGAAUUUUGGAUGAAAAUGAAAAUCUGGUUGACGUCAGAACCCAACGUCAGGCUGACGUUGAUUUCUAACGUUGGUUAGACGUUGCAUUUUGGAUGAAAAUGAAAAUCUGGUUGACGUCAGAACCCAACGUCAGGCUGACGUCGAUUUCUAACGUUGGUUAGACGUUGCAUUUUGGAUGAAAAUGAAAAUCUGGUUGACGUCAGAACCCAACGUCAAGCUGACGUCGAUUUCUAACGUUGGUUAGACGUUGCAUUUUGGAUGAAAAUGAAAAUCUGGUUGACGUCAGAACCCAACGUCAGGCUGACGUCGAUCUCCAACGUUGGUCAGACGUUGAAUUUUGGAUGAAAAUGAAAAUCUGGUUGACGUCAGAACCCAACGUCAGGCUGACGUCGAUCUCCAACGUUGGUCAGACGUUGCAUUUUGGAUGAAAAUGAAAAUCUGGUUGACGUCAGAACCCAACGUCAGGCUGACGUCGAUUUCUAACGUUGGUCAGACGUUGCAUUUUGGAUGAAAAUGAAAAUAUGGUUGACGUCAGAACCCAACGUCAGACUGACGUCGAUCUCCAACGUUGGUCAGACGUUGCAUUUUGAAUGAAAAUGAAAAUCUGGUUGACGUCAGAACCCAACGUCAGGCUGACGCCGAUUUCUAACGUUGGUUAGACGUUGCAUUUUGGAUGAAAAUGAAAAUCUGGUUGACGUCAGAACCCAAUGUCAGGCUGACGUCGAUCUCUAACGUUGGUCAGACGUUGCAUUUUGGAUGAAAAUGAAAAUCUGGUUGACGUCCGAACCCAACGUCAGACUGACGUCAGUCUGCUACGUUGGUCAGACGUUGCAUUUCGGAUGAAAAUCUGGUUGACGUCAGAACCCAACAUCAGACUGACGUCAAUCUCCAACGUUAGUCAGAUAUUGCAUUUUGGAUCAAAAUGAAAAUCUGGUUGACGUCUGAACCCAACGUCAGACUGACGUCAGUCUGCUACGUUGGUCAGACGUUGCAUUUCGGAUGAAAAUCUGGUUGACGUCAGAACCCAACGUCAGACAGACGUCAAUCUCCAACGUUAGUCAGAUAUUGCAUUUUGGAUCAAAAUGAAAAUCUGGUUGACGUCUGAACCCAACGUCAGACUGACGUCAGUCUGCUACGUUGGUCAGACGUUGCAUUUUGGAUGAAAAUGAAAAUCUUUUUGACGUCAGAAUCUUACGUCAGACUGUCUGAAAAUGGAAUACACAAAUGUUUUGUGGUUUUAUCAGAAAAAUGACUAAGAGAUGAACUGGAUUAUAACAAAUAUGAUUUAUUUAUUCACAUGUUGUAUCAUUUACAUUUAACAUGGAACAGAACAUUUACAAAAUAAUUACAUUUUAACAUCAACAUUAUUGGAACUGAAUAGUUUUGAAAACAUACAUUUUAUUAACAUCUUUCUUUUUUUCCUGCCACCUCCACCCAGCCUGUCUGGUGCACAGUAACGUCGCAAGGGCUGUGCAAAGCGUGCAACUUCACUAGGCCUCACACCUCUAGAGGGCCUCGCUCCUGGCCUGCAUUUUAUGUCAUUUAUAUCUCAUUUUUAUUACUAUUUUUUCCACCCAUCUUGUCCUUUGGUAGACUAAAAUAGUCAUAGCGGAUAGACAGUACAAGACUCUAAGUAUAAGAAUGAGUAAAGCUGUUUGUUGAUAGGACGACAAAAAGUUAUAAAGUUUAACUUUUAAAUGGUCUAGAGCCCUGCAUUUCACCCUGACUUUUUUUACACUCCAGGCCGGGUUUCGGGCCAAUUUCCACAUCAUAGUUCAGAUGCGGGCUGUCCUUAGGCCUGUUUAAGGCUUCUCCUUAUUUUUAUAUUUAAGACAUCCAUCAAUUAGUGAUGAAAAAAUUGCCGCACUGAGGGAAACAACACGAGACCGUGCUAACAUGACUGUCAAUAGCGGCUUAACAGUGUUAAGUGUCCCGCAGCAUCACAUUGUUCUGUUUUUAAAUGCACGCAAUAGGCUUAAGCUUGACAUAAAGCAUCUUCAAAAAAUUAUUACCAUAAAUGAGUCAUGGGGUAAAUAGGAAUGAGAUUGAAUUAUUUACUAAUAAAUAGUUUUCUGAGUUGGUGUAGCAAGGAUGAUGUUGCUAAUCCUGACUCGCCAACUCUUAAUUUUACAAGCCUUAAGAGAAAAGUUCAUCUUUAUGGAUUAUCUUUAUAAUGAAUGAGUUUUUGUUUCUGAUGUGUUGUAUUUUGUUAAGUAGUCAUUUAAAGUUUUCUAUAGAUAUAUUUGUCACGUCCGUGAGUCAUGUAUUCACUGAGCUUUGGUUCAUUUUUGUUAAGUGCUCCUGUUCAAGACGAGACGGUAGAAAGCGCAUCAUGACUAUUU